rnacentral:rRNA from 1 species
GACGGAGGGUGCUAGCGUUGUUCGGAAUCACUGGGCGUAAAGGGCGCGUAGGCGGCCCAUGCAGUCGGCUCGUGAAAGCCCGGGGCUCAACCCCGGAGGUGCGGCCGAAACACAUGGGCUGGAGGCCGGAAGAGGAGGGUGGAAUACCCAGUGUAGAGGUGAAAUUCGUAGAUAUUGGGUGGAACACCGGUGGCGAAAGCGGCUCUCUGGUCCGGUUCUGACGCUGAGGCGCGAAAGCGUGGGGAGCAAACAGG